CUUUUAUUGACAAACACCAAGAGUGACCAACUUGCCCUCUACUCACCCUGAACUUUACCGGUUUUAGCCCCAGGAAUCCCAUGUCUUGUGAAUCUGCUCAGCUCCAGGAAAACAGAGAAUAUCCAUUUAUAUAAUGUCAUGAACAUAUAUCCAAUGACAUAAUUUGCCUGCAAAUGUACCCAGUGAGUGGCAGAGUCAUCCUGAAGCCUGCUUUCCAGGCCCCGCGUAUAUUCUAGAAAGCUUCACAUGUGAGAUAAAUGCACUCAAAGAUUCCUCACAAGUAGCUCUUUGGAGCUUCAGAUGUGAAAUGGAUCAUUCCUCAAUCUGUAAUAGACCCUUCUGUGAAGCUCUUCAAUCAAACCAGAGAAUUCAAGAGUUUCCAACACCUAAGAGUGGUAUUUGGCAAAUGGUGGGCCAAAGGAAUAAAGAAGGCAUGCAAAACUCUUGACAGAAGACAUUCAGAAAUUGAUUUGAUAUCAGAUACAAGGAGAAAAUAUGCCAGUAAGAAAAUGCAUUUUUCAAGAUUAAAUUCGGCAUUUGUUACUUAAUAGCAUUUGUCAUAUUCCAAUUUUUCAUAUGUAGUAAAUUCAUUUCAAAUCAUUUCGCUCUUCCAAGUGCCUUUGUGUAUUGUAUUUCUUUUUUCACAUCCUUUUGGAUAACAUUUGAGA
rnacentral:lncRNA from 1 species